rnacentral:rRNA from 1 species
UCAGACGAUGCGUCAUGCAUAUCAAUAAGCGGAGGAAAAGAAACUAACAAGGAUUCCCUUAGUAACGGCGAGUGAAGCGGGAAGAGCUCAAAUUUGAAAUCUUAAAGGUUUUCCCUUGACGAAUUGUAGUUUAAAGAAGUGUUUUCUGUUGAAGUUUUGGUAAAAGUUCUUUGGAAUAGGACAUCAUAGAGGGUGAGAAUCCCGUAUUUGACCAUUAUUUUCAGCUUUGUGAUACACUUUCAAAGAGUCGGAUUGUUUGGGAAUGCAGUCCAAAAUGGGUGGUAAAUUUCAUCUAAAGCUAAAUAUUGGCGAGAGACCGAUAGCGAACAAGUACCGUGAGGGAAAGAUGAAAAGAACUUUGAAAAGAGAGUUAAACAGUACGUGAAAUUGUCAAGAGGGAAGCGUUUGACACCAGUGUUGUUUUCUCGAAAAUCAAUUAAAAAUGGCUCGAUUUUGUAUUGUUGAGACCUUAAAAGCUCACUGUACAUUUUUCGUGUCUUUUUUAAUGCACUUUUCGUUUAACAAGUCAACAUCAGUUUCUUUUGUUGUAAAAGGGUCAUUGGAAGGUGGCUUUCUUUUCGGAGAAAGUGUUUAUAGCCUUUGGCCUCUGCAAUCGGAGAGACUGAGGUCUGCAGCGUAGACUCUUCGGGGUUAGAAUAGCAUUUGUGCUAAGUUAUAGCUUUUUAUAGACAACUUGUUGACUAUAAUUAGUCUUGUAGCUUACUCGCUUAUGCUAUUUUACCUACGCUUAGGAUGUUGAACUACUGAGACAUAGA